rnacentral:rRNA from 1 species
UACGUAGGGGGCUAGCGUUGUCCGGAAUCAUUGGGCGUAAAGAGCGUGUAGGCGGUCCGGUAAGUCCGCUGUGAAAGUCGGGGGCUCAACCCUCGAAUGCCGGUGGAUACUGUCGGGCUAGAGUGCGGAAGAGGCGAGUGGAAUUCCUGGUGUAGCGGUGAAAUGCGCAGAUAUCGGGAGGAACACCUGAGGCGAAGGCGGGCUACUGGGCCGAUACUGACGCUGAUGUGCGAAAGCCAGGGGAGCGAACGGG